AUUGAACGCUGGCGGCAUGCCUUACACAUGCAAGUCGAACGGUAACAGGUCUUCGGAUGCUGACGAGUGGCGAACGGGUGAGUAAUACAUCGGAACGUGCCUAGUAGUGGGGGAUAACUACUCGAAAGAGUGGCUAAUACCGCAUGAGAUCUACGGAUGAAAGCAGGGGAUCGCAAGACCUUGUGCUACUAGAGCGGCCGAUGGCAGAUUAGGUAGUUGGUGGGAUAAAAGCUUACCAAGCCGACGAUCUGUAGCUGGUCUGAGAGGACAAUCAGCCACACUGGGACUGAGACACGGCCCAGACUCCUACGGGAGGCAGCAGUGGGGAAUUUUGGACAAUGGGCGCAAGCCUGAUCCAGCAAUGCCGCGUGCAGGAUGAAGGCCUUCGGGUUGUAAACUGCUUUUGUACGGAACGAAAAGCCCCGGGUUAAUACCCUGGGGCCAUGACGGUACCGUAAGAAUAAGCACCGGCUAACUACGUGCCAGCCGCCGCGGUAA
rnacentral:rRNA from 1 species